GGGUUGUGAGGUUAAGCGACUAAGCGUACACGGUGGAUGCCCUGGCAGUCAGAGGCGAUGAAGGACGUGCUAAUCUGCGAUAAGCGUCGGUAAGGUGAUAUGAACCGUUAUAACCGGCGAUUUCCGAAUGGGGAAACCCAGUGUGUUUCGACACACUAUCAUUAACUGAAUCCAUAGGUUAAUGAGGCGAACCGGGGGAACUGAAACAUCUAAGUACCCCGAGGAAAAGAAAUCAACCGAGAUUCCCCCAGUAGCGGCGAGCGAACGGGGAGCAGCCCAGAGCCUGAAUCAGUGUGUGUGUUAGUGGAAGCGUCUGGAAAGGCGCGCGAUACAGGGUGACAGCCCCGUACACAAAAAUGCACAUGCUGUGAGCUCGAUGAGUAGGGCGGGACACGUGGUAUCCUGUCUGAAUAUGGGGGGACCAUCCUCCAAGGCUAAAUACUCCUGACUGACCGAUAGUGAACCAGUACCGUGAGGGAAAGGCGAAAAGAACCCCGGCGAGGGGAGUGAAAAAGAACCUGAAACCGUGUACGUACAAGCAGUGGGAGCACGCUUAGGCGUGUGACUGCGUACCUUUUGUAUAAUGGGUCAGCGACUUAUAUUCUGUAGCAAGGUUAACCGAAUAGGGGAGCCGAAGGGAAACCGAGUCUUAACUGGGCGUUAAGUUGCAGGGUAUAGACCCGAAACCCGGUGAUCUAGCCAUGGGCAGGUUGAAGGUUGGGUAACACUAACUGGAGGACCGAACCGACUAAUGUUGAAAAAUUAGCGGAUGACUUGUGGCUGGGGGUGAAAGGCCAAUCAAACCGGGAGAUAGCUGGUUCUCCCCGAAAGCUAUUUAGGUAGCGCCUCGUGAAUUCAUCUCCGGGGGUAGAGCACUGUUUCGGCAAGGGGGUCAUCCCGACUUACCAACCCGAUGCAAACUGCGAAUACCGGAGAAUGUUAUCACGGGAGACACACGGCGGGUGCUAACGUCCGUCGUGAAGAGGGAAACAACCCAGACCGCCAGCUAAGGUCCCAAAGUCAUGGUUAAGUGGGAAACGAUGUGGGAAGGCCCAGACAGCCAGGAUGUUGGCUUAGAAGCAGCCAUCAUUUAAAGAAAGCGUAAUAGCUCACUGGUCGAGUCGGCCUGCGCGGAAGAUGUAACGGGGCUAAACCAUGCACCGAAGCUGCGGCAGCGACGCUGAUGCGUUGUUGGGUAGGGGAGCGUUCUGUAAGCCUGUGAAGGUGUGCUGUGAGGCAUGCUGGAGGUAUCAGAAGUGCGAAUGCUGACAUAAGUAACGAUAAAGCGGGUGAAAAGCCCGCUCGCCGGAAGACCAAGGGUUCCUGUCCAACGUUAAUCGGGGCAGGGUGAGUCGACCCUAAGGCGAGGCCGAAAGGCGUAGUCGAUGGGAAACAGGUUAAUAUUCCUGUACUUGGUGUUACUGCGAAGGGGGGACGGAGAAGGCUAUGUUGGCCGGGCGACGGUUGUCCCGGUUUAAGCGUGUAGGCUGGUUUUCCAGGCAAAUCCGGAAAAUCAAGGCUGAGGCGUGAUGACGAGGCACUACGGUGCUGAAGCAACAAAUGCCCUGCUUCCAGGAAAAGCCUCUAAGCAUCAGGUAACAUCAAAUCGUACCCCAAACCGACACAGGUGGUCAGGUAGAGAAUACCAAGGCGCUUGAGAGAACUCGGGUGAAGGAACUAGGCAAAAUGGUGCCGUAACUUCGGGAGAAGGCACGCUGAUAUGUAGGUGAGGUCCCUCGCGGAUGGAGCUGAAAUCAGUCGAAGAUACCAGCUGGCUGCAACUGUUUAUUAAAAACACAGCACUGUGCAAACACGAAAGUGGACGUAUACGGUGUGACGCCUGCCCGGUGCCGGAAGGUUAAUUGAUGGGGUUAGCGCAAGCGAAGCUCUUGAUCGAAGCCCCGGUAAACGGCGGCCGUAACUAUAACGGUCCUAAGGUAGCGAAAUUCCUUGUCGGGUAAGUUCCGACCUGCACGAAUGGCGUAAUGAUGGCCAGGCUGUCUCCACCCGAGACUCAGUGAAAUUGAACUCGCUGUGAAGAUGCAGUGUACCCGCGGCAAGACGGAAAGACCCCGUGAACCUUUACUAUAGCUUGACACUGAACAUUGAGCCUUGAUGUGUAGGAUAGGUGGGAGGCUUAGAAGUGUGGACGCCAGUCUGCAUGGAGCCGACCUUGAAAUACCACCCUUUAAUGUUUGAUGUUCUAACGUUGACCCGUAAUCCGGGUUGCGGACAGUGUCUGGUGGGUAGUUUGACUGGGGCGGUCUCCUCCUAAAGAGUAACGGAGGAGCACGAAGGUUGGCUAAUCCUGGUCGGACAUCAGGAGGUUAGUGCAAUGGCAUAAGCCAGCUUGACUGCGAGCGUGACGGCGCGAGCAGGUGCGAAAGCAGGUCAUAGUGAUCCGGUGGUUCUGAAUGGAAGGGCCAUCGCUCAACGGAUAAAAGGUACUCCGGGGAUAACAGGCUGAUACCGCCCAAGAGUUCAUAUCGACGGCGGUGUUUGGCACCUCGAUGUCGGCUCAUCACAUCCUGGGGCUGAAGUAGGUCCCAAGGGUAUGGCUGUUCGCCAUUUAAAGUGGUACGCGAGCUGGGUUUAGAACGUCGUGAGACAGUUCGGUCCCUAUCUGCCGUGGGCGCUGGAGAACUGAGGGGGCUGCUCCUAGUACGAGAGGACCGGAGUGGACGCAUCACUGGUGUUCGGGUUGUCAUGCCAAUGGCACUGCCCGGUAGCUAAAUGCGGAAGAGAUAAGUGCUGAAAGCAUCUAAGCACGAAACUUGCCCCGAGAUGAGUUCUCCCUGACCCUUUAAGGGUCCUGAAGGAACGUUGAAGACGACGACGUUGAUAGGCCGGGUGUGUAAGCGCAGCGAUGCGUUGAGCUAACCGGUACUAAUGAACCGUGAGGCUUAACCUUACAACGCCGAAGCUGUU
rnacentral:rRNA from 1 species